AACGAACGCUGGCGGCAUGCCUAACACAUGCAAGUCGAACGAAGUCUUCGGACUUAGUGGCGCACGGGUGCGUAACGCGUGGGAAUCUGCCCUUGGGUGCGGAAUAACUUCUCGAAAGGGAUGCUAAUACCGCAUAAUGUCGUAAGACCAAAGAUUUAUCGCCCAAGGAUGAGCCCGCGUAAGAUUAGCUAGUUGGUGGGGUAAAAGCCUACCAAGGCGACGAUCUUUAGCUGGUCUGAGAGGAUGAUCAGCCACACUGGGACUGAGACACGGCCCAGACUCCUACGGGAGGCAGCAGUGGGGAAUAUUGGACAAUGGGCGAAAACCCUGAUCCAGCAAUAGCCGCGUGAGUGAAGAAGG
rnacentral:rRNA from 1 species